UUCGCCUUUGAAACUGCUCUCAUUUCUGCAUUCUUCUGAAUCGAAGCGAAACGGAUCAGGUAAAGCUUGCUUCAAGGGGAAUGUAAAACCGGACAAUGGAGACUCUCAAAAGGAUUUAUCAGCCGAGGAUAAACUGAGUUCAACAUGGAGAGAGGCUUUCAUGAAGGCAUGUAAGUCUAUGGACAAAGAGCUCAGGUCUCAUCCGAAUUUGGACUGCUUUUGUAGUGGGAGCACGGCUGUCACUAUAGUGAAGCAGGGCUCAAAUUUGUUCAUGGGAUAUAUCGAGGAUUCUCGAGCAGUGAUGGGAUCCAAGGACAGCAAUGACUCCAUGGUGGCAAUUUAGUUGACCAUUGAUUUGAAGCCCGAUUUGCCAAGAGAAGCAGAAAGAAUUAAACGGUGCAAGGGAAGGGUGUUUGCUUUGCAAGAUGAGCAUUCGGAGAUUUCUGCUUGAAGGAGUAUGGUGUGAUUUCCAUACCUAAAUUUUCUCACCGACUGCUUACUGACAAAGAUCAUUUUGUUGUUCUUGCCUCAGAUGGUGUAAGAAUUUU